UGGGGAAUAUUGGACAAUGGGCGCAAGCCUGAUCCAGCCAUGCCGCGUGAGUGAUGAAGGCCCUAGGGUUGUAAAGCUCUUUCACCGGUGAAGAUAAUGACGGUAACCGGAGAAGAAGCCCCGGCUAACUUCGUGCCAGCAGCCGCGGUAAUACGAAGGGGGCUAGCGUUGUUCGGAUUUACUGGGCGUAAAGCGCACGUAGGCGGACUAUUAAGUCAGGGGUGAAAUCCCGGGGCUCAACCCCGGAACUGCCUUUGAUACUGGUAGUCUCGAGUUCGAGAGAGGUGAGUGGAAUUCCGAGUGUAGAGGUGAAAUUCGUAGAUAUUAGGAGGAACACCAGGGGAGAAGGCGGCUCACUGGCUCGAUACUGACGCUGAGGUGCGAAAGCGUGGGGAGCAAACAGG
rnacentral:rRNA from 1 species